rnacentral:rRNA from 1 species
UACGUAGGGUGCGAGCGUUGUCCGGAAUUACUGGGCGUAAAGAGCUCGUAGGUGGUUUGUCGCGUUGUUCGUGAAAACCGGGGGCUUAACCCUCGGCGUGCGGGCGAUACGGGCAGACUUGAGUACUGCAGGGGAGACUGAAAUUCCUGGUGUAGCGGUGGAAUGCGCAGAUAUCAGGAGGAACACCGGUGGCGAAGGCGGUGGUCUGGGCCGGCACUGACGCUGAGGAGCGAAAGCGUGGGGAGCAAACAGG